rnacentral:rRNA from 1 species
CUACGGGUGGCUGCAGUGGGGAAUAUUGGUCAAUGGCCGAGAGGCUGAACCAGCCAUCCCGCGUGCAGGAUGACGGCCCUAUGGGUUGUAAACUGCUUUUCUACGCCAAGAAAUCUGAUUACGUGUAAUUAGUUGACGGUAGCGUAGGAAUAAGCAUCGGCUAACUCCGUGCCAGCAGCCGCGGUAAUACGGAGGAUGCAGCGUUAUCCGGAUUCAUUGGGUUUAAAGGGUGCGCAGGCGGGCUUGUAAGUCAGUGGUGAAAUACUGCCGCUUAACGGUAGAACUGCCAUUGAUACUGCAAGUCUUGAAUAUGGUUGAGGUAGGCGGAAUGUGUUGUGUAGCGGUGAAAUGCAUAGAUAUGACACAGAACGCCGAUUGCGAAGGCAGCUUACUAAGCCAUUAUUGACGCUGAGGCACGAAAGCGUGGGGAGCGAACAGGAUUAGAUACCCUCGUAGUC